rnacentral:rRNA from 1 species
CGGGUGAGUAACACGUGAGUAACCUGCCCCCUUCCUUCUGGAUAACCGCAUGAAAGUGUGGCUAAUACGGGAUAUUCUGCGCCUGCUGCAUGGUGGGUGUGGGAAAGAUAUUGUUUCGUGGGGGAUGGGCUCGCGGCCUAUCAGCUUGUUGGUGGGGUGAUGGCCUACCAAGGCGGUGACGGGUAGCCGGCCUGAGAGGGUGGACGGUCACACUGGGACUGAGACACGGCCCAG